UUUUCAAGAUUUUCUAUCUUUUGUUUUUGUUUCUGAAACUGUUGAAAAUAAACUAAAAUAAAAUAAAGCUUAGGAAAUUAAAAGCAUCUAAAACUUAAAAUAAACAACUUAAAGAAAGUAAGGAAAGACUUUGAAAAUUGGGUUGCCUCCCAAUAAGCAUUUUAUUUAACGUCUAUUGCUAGACACAGCAGAAGUUCGGUGGUUAAGUCACUGGAUCCUUCAGAGUCAAUGACUUGCGUGCAAUUUCAUAGGAUGACUCCAAGUACAGUUCAAGCCUGUAACUAUCAACCUUGAACUCAUGACUUGCAACCUCAUUUUUAAUCUCCACAGCCCCAUGCGAAUAAACCUUAGUACCACAUAAGGUCUAGCCCACCACCUUAGAGACAGAGAAUUUGCAAGCUAGGAUGGGACUGUAUAAAAUUGUUUGCUUUGACUAUACUUGCAUGAAAUUUCUGUUGCUUUAACUACUUUAAAUUCUCUGCUAAUUGGUAAUGUAGAACUGAUGUGGUUAAUUACUUGAUGGUAGAUUUGCUGCUGGAUGCGGGAUCCAGUUUUACUUUUCUGUAUGUGCACAGUAGUCAAAAAUAGGACCACCUUGUAAGUUUUGUCUGCAACCUGCAAAAGCCUAAAUUUUUUAAUCCAUGAGCUAUUUUACCAACCCAAUUUUACACAACAUAGUUUGUUCACAAGCACUCAUAAAUUUUUUAACCAAGUGUUUUCGAAAAUUUAAAAACAUAAUAUAAGACACAAAAUUAAACUAUAAUUAGGAAAGAAACAAAGUAAAAACAAAAUAUUUUUAUUACUUUUCAAGGUUUUCUAUCUUUUCUUUUUGUUUUUGAAAGUGUUGAAAGUAAACUAAAAUAAAAUAAAACUUAGGAAAUUAAAAGCACCUAAAAACUAAAAUAAACAACUUAAAGAAAGUAAGGAAAGAGUUAGAAAGUUAGGUUGCCUCCCAAAUUGCUUGACGCAGCAGAAAUCCAGUUAAGAGUCACUGGUUCCUUCAGAGUCAAUGACUCGAGUUCAAUUUCAUAGGGUGACUCCAAGCCCAAAUAAGGCAAAGCCCAAGCCUAUUUAGAGACGUAGAAUUUGCAUGCUAGGAUAGCUUUGACUAUGCUUGCAUGAAAUUUCUGUCUCUUUAAAUGCUUUAAAUGGUAGGUAGACUUGCUGCUGGAUGUAGGAUCCAACUUAACUUUUUGCAUGUUGUAGCUGAAAAUAGAACCAUCUUGUAUGUUUUGUGUGCUACUUGCAAAAGCUCAAAGUUUAUAAUCCAUAGCCUGUUUUUCCAACCCAAUUUUACACAACACAAUAAGUUCACAAACACUCAUGAAUUUUUGAACCAAGUUUUUUUGAAAAUUUAAAACAGAAUGUAAGACACAAAAUUAAACGAGAACUAAUUAGGAAAGAAACAAAGUAAAACCAAAAUAUUUUGGGAUUUUUCAAGGUUUUCUAUUUUUUGUUUUUGAAACUGUUGAAAAUAAACUAAACUAAACUAAAAUAAAGCUUAGUAAAUUAAAAGUAUCUAGAAACUUAGAAUAAACAACUUAAAGAAAGUAAGGAAAGAGUUAGAAAAUUGGGUUGCCUCCCAAAUGAUAGUCGUAGCAAAAGUUCAGUGGUUAAAUUAUUGGAUCCUUUAGAGUCAAUGACUCGCGUGCGAUAUUAUGGAUGACUCAAAGUAUAGUUCAAGCCUGUGACCAUUAAUCUUGAACUCAUGACUUGUAACCGCCCCAUGCGAAUAAACCUUAAUAACCACAUAAGGCUUAGCCUACCUUAUUAGAGACAUAUAAUUUGCGUGCUAGGAUAGGUUCCCGUAACAAUUUGUUUGCUUUGACUAUGCUUGCAUGAAAUUUCUGUCACUGUUGGAGCAACUUUGUGAAUGCAGAGCACCACCGUGGCCACAAUAGUGCGGCUACGAUAGCGGUGGCUGCUGCUGCAAUGGUUUAUGAGACAGCUCCAAGCAGAGCUUAGAUUGCCAAACAUGCAUUAGCGGUAACCUAGCCGUCGCUCUUAUAGCCUGUGAGACAGCUCGACUGCCACACAACAUACCAACAGCAAGCCCAAUUCGGUGUAGAAGCAGCUGGCGCCAUAGCUCAAAGCCAGACCCAGGCCUGUGCUGCACCGCAGUAUAUCAAGACUUAUGACCUGAGAGCGUAGCGCUUGGAGCCUCAAGAACCUGCGAACCAACCCACGACCCAGGACCCAUGACCAGACCCAGCUUUCUCAGUAGUCUAACCAAUUUUUGUGGCCCAAUUGAUUCCAGAUCGAUUCAGUCAAACCGGUUCAUGGUUCUCCGAUCGUACCUAACCUAGGUCGGUCUGGUCGGACAGACCAUCAGUUUUCUUCUUUUUUCGUAGUUUGCCACUGACCCCCACUUGUACUGAUGACUCAGAGAAGUGUCAAAGAGCUUAGAUCGACUCAUCAUAGCCUAUAAAUAGGUGAAUCGACUCCUUAUGCAGGGUUAUACACUCUAAACGCUCACCAAUAGGAUAAAUGGUAAAUGGUAAGCUGUCUACAGUCUUAAUUAAUCAACAAUAGAAAUUUCUUUUUCCAUGUUAGGAGAUGGAUUAUUGUUUGCAGUCAUGACCAAAUACCAAGUGUUUUACGAUGAAUGAUAUGUCGAGUUUGUGGCCUCAUCAUCUUCUACUGAGAUCAAAUUAAGCAGGUCCUAAGCCCACAGGUUAGGAGGCACCCCGCACCUAAUAGGUGGGUAACAUACCAUAAAUGACGCUACUUAAGGAGAAUGACUUUCAUGACACGAGUACACUAUUAUUGUGAUGUUAUGUGCCAAUGAUACAAUGCAUGUGUCAGUUUCUCUCUACACGAUAUAUGUUACCCACGAGGUAACAAACUACAAAUGCAACCAAUAAUACUUGUGUCAUAUAAGUUGUUCAUAAAAAAUAUUGAUUAGACCGGUAACCAACUAUCACUAACAUAGUUUAUCUCCGGUUCCCCAUACUGGUUCUAUUUCGAUGCUCGUAAAGCAGUGUCUUUAUCAUACUGGUUUGUCUGGUCUGCUUAGUGUCAUUGCAUUGUCCAAAACACUGGCUCUAAUUGAAUAUUAAGUGCCUACUUAACAUAAAACACAGCUGGCCCUUGCAAUUAAAGAAACUUGGAACUGUCAUGUCGUGCGUUUUCGAUGGCUUCAAGGUGCCUAACAAAUUGGUUAUAUGUAGCUCAAAAGCCACAUAUUUCUUAUCCAACUCCAACCGUGUUGGAGUGUCACGAAGAAGUUUACCACAACCUUAAUUUUAUAGGUAAAAAACACUUAAAAUACCGCUUUGAAGAAAGAAAUAUUAAUCCAUAAAUCGAUUGUUAUUGCAUACGAAUCCAUUAAACUAUUGUUUGCUGAGAAAGCUUCUCAGAACAAUCUUAAAGCUCUUUAGAAGAUUGUUCCUUCCAAAAUAAGAGACCUAUUCUCCAAUGGUGGAAUAAUUCCUCCGUAUUCUCUGUUUCCUUGUGCUUUAAGUAAGCAAGUAAACUAUUUUAAUUGCUGAUUGCUUUCUAAUGCGCGAAACCUGACAAAUUCCAAUUCAUUCGAUCUUGAUAACCGAAAAUUAAGAGAGGUGUGUGAGAAGUAAAACUGAGUGUGUAUAUCACUACCCUUCUUUUAUAGUUUGAUUUUUGAGGUGUUUUUUUGCUAAAACUAAUACUUAUUGAGGGCCAAGUAGCAGACAUGGGAGUUCAUAAGUUUAGAGUAGUUCUAUUCACACACCGUUUUUUGACUCCCACACAUCUUUGUUAACUUUUGUUGAUCGAUCUUUUUUGAUUUAUUUGAUCUAAUGGUCGGAAAUUAAGAAGAGUACAUACGAAGUAAAAAUAAGUAUGUGGAUAAAACCACCCUAAUUUUAUACUUCAAUGUAAAGGUUCUUUAAAAAGAGAAUGUAUUCCAUCUAGCUAGCUAUAUAAUUAGGCACCAGCCUGCCAGGUGUGCCCUUCUUUCAAUCAUCAUAUAAUUAAGGUGGUUGUCACCAACCAUAACAGCCAUAUUAAUCUAAUCAUAUAUUAAUUAAUAACUAAUUAAAAUACUUAGCUUAAAGAUGUCGGAAACAAAGUAUGUAGCUAGUACUAUUUAUUCAAAGGCAUAAAGGAUGGAAACAUCCGUAGAAAGUAGAACGAAGGUCACAGAGCGCGUAUUCUUUUUUGACCUGAGAGCAAUUGUGCUUAUUUUAGCCAACACAAAUUUGGUUUGGACGUACAAGUGAAGAUAUCUUAUGGUUCGUUUGGAAACGGUUUAAAAAUAAUUGCAAACGCUUUUAGAAAAAAAAAUAUUUUUGGUUUUAAAAAACGCUUAAAGUAUUUUUUCAAUAUUUACUUACAUUUUUACAGAUAAUUGGUUUAAAAAAAAAAUCACCAAAAACAUUUCUAGUCCUUUUAAAAUCACUUCCAAACGAACUUUGAAAUUAGUUAUUUACUUGUUUGCCACAAAAAGAAAAAAAUAACAGGAUUUCACUGAGUUUGGUUUUGGGGGUAAUCUUUUCAGCUUUUGGUUGAUGAAGACAAGAGCUCGAAAAUUUGGUGCACCAUUACAUCAAAAUUAUGUAAGUACUAUGCAUGAUGUGGAACAGUUAGUGGGGGAAAUUAUGGAACAACUCGACAUGCGUACGUCUAAGAAUAACAUGUUUGAAGAAUUCUAAAGUUGGGGAUCUUCGAUGUCCAAUUUCGGCCACAUUUCGUGUCAUUCUUCAUUGUAAGGAAAUGGUGAUUUACGUAUCUCGUGUCGUUAAUUUUAGGGUUUUUAUGUUUUAUUAUUAUGGCAAAGUGACGAAAUUUGCUAGGCCAAAUACGUAUUUUAAGAAGUUUACAAAACAUUCAACGGCACGAAGAAAUUUUAUUGAAAACAAAAGUUAGUUGGCGGGCAUACCUUACCUUCAUAAAGUGAAAAAAAAUAAUAAAAUACAAGAAAAAAAAUGGAAGAACAUAAACCGAGAAAAUGUUGUGAGUAUUUAUUUAAAAACAGUAUUAUCAAGUAAUAUCGUAAUUUGUUUUUAAAUUUUAUUAUUAUUAAGGAGAUUGAGAGAAUUCGAAACUAUUACAAUAAUUUAGGAGAGGAUGAUAAUUUUGAACUCGUGACAUAUGAGUGAAAACUUGACACCCUAUUCAUUAAGAUGUUGGACCAUAUGCAUGUAAUAUCCUAAUCUUCUGUGUUAUUUUUAUCUUGAAGCUAGGGUUUUGGAACCUAAUGUAUCUUAACCCUACAAUAUUUUGUUGCUUUUGUCCCCCAUCUCCAUCAAUUAUGAAAAGAACCUUUAAAUUAAACCAGAAAUGUGACUUGUAAUUAGAGAUAAAGCAACAAUCAAUUCAUUUAAAUCUUUGUCCUUUUGGGGACAAACUUGUACAUGGUGGCUUAUGUUAAUCAAAACCCCAUGACGUCCGGGACAAGGAAAAGCCAGUGCCAACCGAUUUCUAACUUAAAUAAUCUUUGAUAAAAAGAAAAGUGGGAAGCAAACGAAAUGAUGCGGUUGCAGUCUUGCAGAUGGCAUGUGGGUGACGAUGGAAAGCCAAAUCCACUAACAACUCUCCACCUACCGACGUUGCCUUCCAAUGCGAUGCGAUGCGAUGCCAUGCCAUGGCCAUAUCUGAUGAUUAGUGCUUAACAGAUGUGGAUGACUAUAUGCAAAGGAUAUAGUCUAUAUGCAAAGGAUAUAGUCACUUUAGGGCUUCUCUUUUGUUUCUUUCACUAACCCUAAAAGUAAAUGGUAAAAUAUUUAGUUUGGAAUGCCCAUGGUGGAGAGAAAGGACGCUACUUUGUUGCUGAACAUUUCAGCAGGAGGUCCUGUUGAAAUUUCAGCAGCCAAGUUUUAUUCUUUGGAGUGUGAUUGUGAGGUAUUAAUUUUGAAUAAUCGUAAUUGGCAUUGUAAAUGAAUGUGGGGUGUUAAUGUGUUAUGAAACCCGACAUAAAACGUGUUUAGGCGACUAAAUCAUUGUGGAUGCCUUGGAAUGACUCGCUAUGUUGUUAACAUGAUUUUCAAAGACAGAUCAAGUGAACUUCCGAGAAGUUUAGAAAAACAUGGAGAGUUAGAAUUAAAGAAUAAGAAAUACUUCAGUUAUAUCCCAAGGUAGUCUUGUUGCUAGCCUCGUUACUGUACCGUAAGUUAAUGGUGCAUUGUGAGACCUGCAACAGAACGCUUAGGUGUGUAAGCAAUUGUGAACGCAUUGUAGAUGACUAUGAGUCAUUGACGCAUUAUGAAACCCAAACCAAGAUCUUCUAGACCAAUGAUGGUAGCAUUCCUCAUUUAUAUAUCCAAUAGACUUAAAGAAAAAGAGGUAAUGGCGAUUUUCUCCUGAAGUUUAUAUCUAAUUACCCCUGAACUUUUAUAAUUGGUCGGUUUUCACCCUAAAAUUGUAAUUUUAGAUGAUUAUCAAUCUGAACUUUUAUAAUUAGUCAAUUUUCUCCAUGAACUUUACUUUCCCCACUAAACAUAAACCCUAAAGUUCAAAUAAAAAGUGUAUGGACUGAACUAGCGAAAGAAAAGAAGAAGAAAAAAACUAUAUGUUGUGAUUGCAAAAAUUCAUCGUUGUAAUUUGCUAAAAUUACAGUACAUUGAGAAAUUUAACAGUGUAAGACAUAUUCUGAAAUCACAACAACAAAACAUUAGGAUCACGAAUAAAUCAAAUCAAUAUCAAAUAGAGAUCGACUAAUUAUAUUGAACUUAUCUGUAGAAUUCGGAAGACAUGGUUAUGAAGUUGAAGCCAUUGAUCCUUGCGAACAAAGUAGAAGUAGUCUUCUACUUCCAGUACCUCUAAAUGAACUCUACUAUCGAAAUAGGCUUAUAGUUUUCGUGAGUUUCUAUCGGUAUGGAAGCAGGGACGGCUCCUAGGUUAUAUAGAUAGGGUUUCAAUCAAUUCCUCCCUAUUAUCGGAAAGGAUAUCAACCCAAAUCACAUCUCAUCAAUUAUAGUCCCAUCAUGACUCUUAUUCCUUGUAUUUACUUAAUAAAGGCCCUUAAUUGAUUGCAUGUAAUUAGGACUCCAAUAUGUUUAUUUCCUUAAGGCACCAAGAGUCCUAGAGAUUUUAUUAACUUGAUUGCCAAGUCAAUAUUCCCUCAAUUAUUCUCGGCAUAAUUCAUUGUCAUUCACAAAAUGGUUUUACAUUCUCCCACUUGAAUGUCAAUGAGAAUACCUUAACGAGAUAAAUAUAUAUGGUGAUCACUUGAGUCCACCAAAGUAUGCAAUCAUACCUUUCAAGUAACUUGUCACUUUGAGACUAAGUGCAGAACCAAAGAAAACAAGGCACACAUUGGACAGUUCCUUGCACUCCAUGAUUACAUGCACACUCAACUCAAAGCACUAUGUUACUAACAAAGUCAUGAUAUCAAGAGCUAAUAGUCAAAACAUUAGCUCACAAUAGUCGAACUGAAAAUAUGAAAAAUAUAUUUCAGUACAAAAGUAGUUCACAAAAGAACUCAACCGCGUUGGUAACAAAAUCCAACUUUUCUGUCAAUUUAGAAUAUAAUAAGAGAACAAGAAAAAUACGACAUACUGUUU
rnacentral:lncRNA from 1 species